rnacentral:rRNA from 1 species
GUCUACCAUGCAGUCGACGAUGAAGCCCAGCUUGCUGGGUGGAUUAGUGGCGAACGGGUGAGUAACACGUGAGUAACCUGCCCUUAACUCUGGGAUAAGCCUGGGAAACUGGGUCUAAUACCGGAUAGGAGCGCCUACCGCAUGGUGGGUGUUGGAAAGAUUUAUCGGUUUUGGAUGGACUCGCGGCCUAUCAGCUUGUUGGUGAGGUAAUGGCUCACCAAGGCGACGACGGGUAGCCGGCCUGAGAGGGUGACCGGCCACACUGGGACUGAGACACGGCCCAGACUCCUACGGGAGGCAGCAGUGGGGAAUAUUGCACAAUGGGCGCAAGCCUGAUGCAGCGACGCCGCGUGAGGGAUGACGGCCUUCGGGUUGUAAACCUCUUUCAGUAGGGAAGAAGCGAAAGUGACGGUACCUGCAGAAGAAGCACCGGCUAACUACGUGCCAGCAGCCGCGGUAAUACGUAGGGUGCGAGCGUUAUCCGGAAUUAUUGGGCGUAAAGAGCUCGUAGGCGGUUUGUCGCGUCUGUCGUGAAAGUCCGGGGCUUAACCCCGGAUCUGCGGUGGGUACGGGCAGACUAGAGUGCAGUAGGGGAGACUGGAAUUCCUGGUGUAGCGGUGGAAUGCGCAGAUAUCAGGAGGAACACCGAUGGCGAAGGCAGGUCUCUGGGCUGUAACUGACGCUGAGGAGCGAAAGCAUGGGGAGCGAACAGGAUUAGAUACCCUGGUAGUCCAUGCCGUAAACGUUGGGCACUAGGUGUGGGGACCAUUCCACGGUUUCCGCGCCGCAGCUAACGCAUUAAG